UACGUAGGGUGCGAGCGUUGUCCGGAAUUAUUGGGCGUAAAGGGCUCGUAGGCGGUUUGUCGCGUCGGGAGUGAAAACUCAGGGCUUAACCCUGAGCCUGCUUCCGAUACGGGCAGACUAGAGGUAUGCAGGGGAAAACGGAAUUCCUGGUGUAGCGGUGAAAUGCGCAGAUAUCAGGAGGAACACCGGUGGCGAAGGCGGUUCUCUGGGCAUUACCUGACGCUGAGGAGCGAAAGUGUGGGGAGCGAACAGG
rnacentral:rRNA from 1 species